UUUAGACACAUUUUUUGAUCACAACUUUUUACGUAAAAAAGAAAGAAAAGAAAGAAAAAUAUGGCAACAAUUUUUUUAUAUGCAAUAAUUUUGGUACUCAACAAAGAAGAAGUUUGUGAAGCCAUUAUCUAUAACCUUAUUGAGAACAACGUAACUGCAACUUUUCAAGGAAAUUUACUAAAAGUUAUACCAAAACUGUAUGAAGAGUUUUUAAUAACAUUUGAUUUUCAAAGAAUUGAAGCACCAGUUAAUAAUUGGUACAAUAUUCUUCUUUUCACAACCGGAGGAAAUGGAUUUGAUGUUGGUUCUCGUGUACCAAGUGUUUAUUUAAAUCCGGAUUCAAUUUUAGAGUUUUGCUUUAUCGUAAACAAUGAUUACAAUUAUAAUUGCUUUUCUAUAACACCAUAUGCAAAAAAUCAAUGGACGAAAAUUGAAAUAAGUCAAUUUUGGAAUUGCAGUCAUUAUGUGAACUCAGUAAAAAUAAAUGGCAGUUUUGUGCACUCUAAAAUAAACUACAAUUUUCAAUCUUUUGAAAAUGUUAGUGUAUAUGCUUCGGAUCCCUUCUCCCAAGCAAAUGGUUUCAUAAACAACUUAAUUGUUGUUAGCGGCAAUAUAAGUUCUUGGAUGCCUUGGAGCAGUUGGUCUACUUGCAGUGCUGUUUAUGGUUAUGGAGUAUUAAAUAGAACAAGGGUGUGUAAUGCCUCACAAAGUUUAGCAUGUUGUAUAGGCAAUAGUGUUGAAGUAAAAGAUUGCCUUGUAAAAACAUAUUCAGAUUUUACCAAAACCCUAUGGAAUGUUUCCAAUGUAGUCACUUUAAAUGGAUAUAAUAUAAGAAUCAACUUGCAAAUUUAUCCUGUAUUUAAAGUAUUCUUAAAUGCUUAUUUGGAAUUUGAGUAUUUUAUGCCACCGUAUUUUUACUUUACAACUGAAAAUGUAGUUCAAGAUUUUGUUAGGUCUGAUGCCAAUCGAAUGAUGUACUUUUUCAAUGGAAGUAUCCAUUCUUUUCACUCAUUCAAUUACAGUUUUGAAGCAACUAUUCUUUGUUCUAAAUGCCCUAUAGCUGGAAAGUUUACAUUAGACAUUCCAUUAAAAGUAUCAACUCAAGUAGAAUCUGGUUACCCAAUAACAUUUUUCAAAACGUCUCGAAAUUUGGUUGAGUGCAAUAGAGUUUUAAAAAUUCCAGUUGUUGUGGAGAAAAAUAUACUUAAAGAAAGUUAUGGACGUGGGAUUUAUUGGGAUUCUGAAAACACUAACAUUUAUGUCUGUAUGAAUCAACAACUUCCGAGUACAGAAGUGGCAUGUUAUUUUUCAAAAGAUGAAGGAAAAUCAUGGUUGGGUAUUUUCUCAAACUUAACUUUCGAAAAUGUUGCAGGAUCUUUAAAAAAGCAGAUUAUCUGAACUAGAUACAAUAGAAGUUUUAAAUUAUCACGUCAUCUUACUGCUUUAGUAACCACUUCUUGACUAUUCUUGAAAUUCAUUUUGAGUUGUUUGUUAUAUUUUACAAGUUCAGGGAUAAAUGAAUACUCCAUAUUGGUCAAUAUGUUUAUACCAAAAAUGUUUUUCAUCCAUCACUACACAAAAAACUCGGACACAUCAUUUUAAAAAUUUCGUGAUAAUUAGAUGUACGUAUUGGAUCUGUUCUCGGUCAUCACUCAAUAACUAAACAACUUUAUGCAAUCCACCGAAACCAGAAAACAUAC
rnacentral:misc_RNA from 1 species